CCUACGGGAGGCAGCAGUGAGGAAUAUUGGUCAAUGGACGAGAGUCUGAACCAGCCAAGUAGCGUGAAGGAUGACUGCCCUAUGGGUUGUAAACUUCUUUUAUAUGGGAAUAAAAUGUUCCACGUGUGGGCUUUUGUAUGUACCAUAUGAAUAAGGAUCGGCUAACUCCGUGCCAGCAGCCGCGGUAAUACGGAGGAUCCGAGCGUUAUCCGGAUUUAUUGGGUUUAAAGGGAGCGUCGGUGGAUUGUUAAGUCAGUUGUGAAAGUUUGCGGCUCAACCGUAAAAUUGCAGUUGAAACUGGCAGUCUUGAGUACAGUAGAGGUGGGCGGAAUUCGUGGUGUAGCGGUGAAAUGCUUAGAUAUCACGAAGAACUCCGAUUGCGAAGGCAGCUCACUGGACUGAAACUGACACUGAGGCUCGAAAGUGUGGGUAUCAAACAGGAUUAGAUACCCUUGUAGUC
rnacentral:rRNA from 1 species